rnacentral:rRNA from 1 species
AACGUAGGACGCAAGCGUUAUCCGGAAUUACUGGGCGUAAAGCGCGUGUAGGUGGUUAUGUAAGUCAUUUGUGAAAGCUCUCGGCUAAACUGAGAGAGGUCAAGUGAUACUGCAUGGCUAGAGGGCAGAAGAGGGGUAUAGAAUUCCGGGUGUAGUGGUGAAAUGCGUAGAUAUCCGGAGGAAUACCAGAGGCGAAGGCGAUGCCCUGGUCUGCACCUGACACUGAGACGCGAAAGCAUGGGUAGCAAACGGG